GCACAACGCGAAGAACCUUACCUAGGCUUGACAUGCAUCUCUAAGCGCGUGAAAGCGUGUGACCCUUCGGGGAAUUUGCACAGGUGCUGCAUGGCCGUCGUCAGCUCGUGUCGUGAGAUGUUGGGUUAAGUCCCGCAACGAGCGCAACCCUUGUGACUAGUUGCCAGCACGUUAUGGUGGGAACUCUAGUCAGACUGCCCAGAUCAACUGGGAGGAAGGUGGGGACGACGUCAGGUCAGUAUGGCCCUUACGCCCAGGGCUGCACACGUACUACAAUGCCCAGCACAAUGAGAACCGAGACCGCGAGGUGGAGGAAAUCUAUAAAAACCUGGGCCCAGUUCGGAUUGGAGGCUGCAACUCGCCUCCAUGAAGUUGGAAUCGCUAGUAAAUGGCGCAUCAUCUACGGCGCCGUGAAUACGUUCCCGGGG
rnacentral:rRNA from 1 species